rnacentral:rRNA from 1 species
UACAGAGGUGGCAAGCGUUGUUCGGAAUUACUGGGCGUAAAGGGCGCGUAGGCGGCUUGGUCAGUCCCGUGUGAAAUCCCUCGGCUCAACUGAGGAACUGCACGGGAAACUGCCUGGCUUGAGUUCGGGAGAGGGAAGCGGAAUUCCGGGUGUAGCGGUGAAAUGCGUAGAUAUCCGGAGGAACACCGGUGGCGAAGGCGGCUUCCUGGACCGACACUGACACUGAGGCACGAAAGCGUGGGGAGCAAACAGG